CUCAAUGUCUGCUAGCUUUGUCUCAUACUGCUGCAUUUGAUUGUGCAGCCCUGCCAUCUCCUCUUCCAUUCCCCUGUGGGCCUCGUCCGGCUCCGCCACUUUAUUUUCAGUCCCAGCAGUUCUCACCUCUAAUUCUUUUAGGUCUUUAUGCAGUGCCCCAAUUGUGGCUUUGAAGCUGUUCUCUAGUCUUGCAGACAUCUGUUCCAACAUUGUCCGCAUCAUCU